rnacentral:rRNA from 1 species
AUUGAACGCUGGCGGCAUGCUUUACACAUGCAAGUCGAACGGUAACAGGCCGCAAGGUGCUGACGAGUGGCGAACGGGUGAGUAAUGCAUCGGAACGUGCCCAGUCGUGGGGGAUAACGCAGCGAAAGCUGUGCUAAUACCGCAUACGAUCUAUGGAUGAAAGCGGGGGACCGUAAGGCCUCGCGCGAUUGGAGCGGCCGAUGUCAGAUUAGCUAGUUGGUGGGGUAAAGGCCCACCAAGGCGACGAUCUGUAGCUGGUCUGAGAGGACGACCAGCCACACUGGAACUGAGACACGGUCCAGACUCCUACGGGAGGCAGCAGUGGGGAAUUUUGGACAAUGGGCGAAAGCCUGAUCCAGCAAUGCCGCGUGCAGGAAGAAGGCCUUCGGGUUGUAAACUGCUUUUGUACGGAGCGAAACGGUCUGGGU